GAGCAUGGUGGUAACGAGGAAGGUGGGUCAUGGUGGUAAGGAGUUGGGCAAGGAGGUAAUGAGGAAGGCGGGGCUUGGAGGUAACGAGGAAGGUGGGUCAUGGUGGUAAGGAGUUGGGCAAGGAGGUAAUGAGGAAGGCGGGGCUUGGAGGUAACGAGGAAGGUGGGUCAUGGUGGUAAGGAGUUGGGCAAGGAGGUAAUGAGGAAGGUGGAGCAUGGUGGUAACGAGGAAGGUGGGUCAUGGUGGUAAGGAGUUGGGCAAGGAGGUAAUGAGGAAGGCGGGGCUUGGAGGUAACGAGGAAGGUGGGUCAUGGUGGUAAGGAGUUGGGCAAGGAGGUAAUGAGGAAGGUGGGGCUUGGAGGUAACGAGGAAGGUGGAGCAUGGUGGUAAGGAGUUGGGCAAGGAGGUAAUGAGGAAGGCGGGGCUUGGAGGUAACGAGGAAGGUGGGUCAUGGUGGUAAGGAGUUGGGCAAGGAGGUAAUGAGGAAGGCUGAGCAUGGUGGUAAGGAGUUGGGCAAGGAGGUAAUGAGGAAGGUGGAGCAUGGUGGUAAGGAGUUGGGCAAGGAGGUAAUGAGGAAGGCGGGGCUUGGAGGUAACGAGGAAGGUGUGUCAUGGUGGUAAGGAGUUGGGCAAGGAGGUAAUGAGGAAGGCUGAGCAUGGUGGUAAGGAGUUGGGCAAGGAGGUAAUGAGGAAGGUGGAGCAUGGUGGUAAGGAGUUGGGCAAGGAGGUAAUGAGGAAGGCGGGGCUUGGAGGUAACGAGGAAGGUGGAGCAUGGUGGUAAGGAGUUGGGCAAGGAGGUAAUGAGGAAGGUGGAGCAUGGUGGUAAGGAGUUGGGCAAGGAGGUAAUGAGGAAGGCGGGGCUUGGAGAUAACGAGGAAGGUGGGUCAUGGUGGUAAGGAGUUGGGCAAGGAGGUAAUGAGGAAGGUGGAGCAUGGCAGUUACCAGGCGGGCAGGAAGUUAACGAGGAAGGUGGGGCAUGGAGGUAGUGAGGCGGG